UUUAAAACUGGACUUGUCAAUUUGUCCAUCUGAUGAAGUAAGGACUGCUCUGUCAACUCCCUCGGUCCGUGUGGCAAGAUUGCUGAAGAUAAAAACAUGUUUUGGGGGGUGGGGAGAGAUGGCUGUCAUCAGAUCUGUCUUGGACAGGAUUCUUUAACCUUAAAACACACUAGACAACCAGGUGACCAUCGAUUAACUGUUGCUGUCACAAAAAGAGAAAUCCUGUUGACUCCAAUGACAGGUAAUCAUAGAGCAGCAGAGAGAAGCUGACUGUGCUAGAGCUCCAGAAACACAGGACAGUGAGUGGACAGAGGAAAGGGCACUCCAGGGAUGUAACCAGCACAGCACAGACUGGUGACACCUUCCAAGACAAAUGACCUAGUUUUCUAAACAACAGUGACAACAACAAUUGCAAGGAGAAGAAUGAAGGGAGACCUGUCAAUGAGAAGGACUCAUAAAGCCCCUUGACUAAUUACAAGAUCCAGAUUCAAAUGUUCUCUCUCUCUCCCUCUCUCUCUCUCUCUCUCUCUCUUUCUCUCUCUCUCUCUCUCUCUCUCUCUCUCUCUCUCCUUCCUUCCCUCCCCCCCUUCUCUCUCUCAUCUGGUUUCAAAUACUAUAAAACUAAGGAUGCUGCUGCACUUCAGAUCUUCCAGACUCUACCGCCUGAGUGCCAGGAUUGCAGACAACAUUUGUCACCAGUAGGCUUCAGCUGCAGAAAAUAUUAAAAAGAGGUUUUAUGUCAGAAACUCAGAGCUGCAUAAAACAACCCCCACAUUUAAUGAAUAGAGAACAUUCAAGGAAUAAAGGUAUAAUGUGUCUAUGUAUGUGUUCAUGUGAAUGCAAACAUGUACAUGUGGAAACCAGAGACAACCUCAGGUGAAGACCAGGUCUGCUGCAAAAGAUGGCCAUGGUUUCAAAGGAGAACCGAUUCCUAGAUUAAAAUCAAAACCCCAUGUCAAAGACCCCAUGUCAACUCACUUGGCCAAUCAAGGAUUCUUAAGUUCAUCUGUAACUCUUCUUCUUACAUCUUUGCCUCGCCAAAAGCUCAUCAAUGAGCUGGGACAGUAAGACUGGCUCUUGCUGCUACCCAUCCUCCGGCAGGUCCUGCUGACAGAUCACUCGGAUGCCUUUGCCCAGCCUCACAACUAUUCCUGAGACGUGAGCAGAGGAUGCCAGCUCUUUUACAAUUUUAACUUUUUAAUUACACACACGCACUCACACACACUUGUGGGGGGAAGGAAUGUGCAUAUGAGUGCAGGUGCUUGUGGA